CUGAAUAGGGCGCUUAGUCAGAUGCUGCAGACCCGAAACGAAGUGAUCUAUCCAUGAGCAAGUUGAAGCUAGUGUAAGAACUAGUGGAGGACUGAACCCAUAGGCGUUGAAAAGCCCCGGGAUGACUUGUGGAUAGGGGUGAAAGGCCAAUCAAACUUCGUGAUAGCUGGUUCUCUCCGAAAUAUAUUUAGGUAUAGCGUUGUGUCGUAAUAUAAGGGGGUAGAGCACUGAAUGGGCUAGGGCAUACACCAAUGUACCAAACCCUAUCAAACUCCGAAUACCUUAUAUGUAAUCACAGCAGUCAGGCGGCGAGUGAUAAAAUCCGUCGUCAAGAGGGAAACAACCCAGACUACCAGCUAAGGUCCCUAAAUCUUACUUAAGUGGAAAACGAUGUGAAGUUACUUAAACAACCAGGAGGUUGGCUUAGAAGCAGCCAUCCUUUAAAGAAAGCGUAAUAGCUCACUGGUCUAGUGAUUUUGCGCGGAAAAUAUAACGGGGCUAAAGUAAGUACCGAAGCUGUAGACUUGCGCACAACUUAGAUUAUUUAAGUUUAGAAUAUGAGAAACUAAGUUAUAUGUUUAGUUAUAUUUUUACUGAUUUUUAUAGAGUAAAGAUAGAAAUAAAACUUAGUAAAAUCAGUAAAAAUAUUCUUAGAUUAAAGUUAAGUAGUUUAAGUUGUGUGCAAGUGGUAGGAGAGCGUUCUAUUUGCGUCGAAGGUAUACCGGUAAGGAGUGCUGGAGCGAAUAGAAGUGAGCAUGCAGGCAUGAGUAGCGAUAAUUAAUGUGAGAAUCAUUAACGCCGUAAACCCAAGGUUUCCUACGCGAUGCUCGUCAUCGUAGGGUUAGUCGGGUCCUAAGUCGAGUCCGAAAGGGGUAGACGAUGGCAAAUUGGUUAAUAUUCCAAUACCAACAUUAGUGUGCGAUGGAAGGACGCUUAGGGCUAAGGGGGCUAGCGGAUGGAAGUGCUAGUCUAAGGUCGUAGGAGGUUAUACAGGCAAAUCCGUAUAACAAUACUCCGAGAACUGAAAGGCUUUUUGAAGUCUUCGGAUGGAUAGAAGAACCCCUGAUGCCGUCGAGCCAAGAAAAGUUUCUAAGUUUAGCUAAUGUUGCCCGUACCGUAAACCGACACAGGUGGGUGGGAUGAGUAUUCUAAGGCGCGUGGAAGAACUCUCUUUAAGGAACUCUGCAAAAUAGCACCGUAUCUUCGGUAUAAGGUGUGGUUCGCUUCGUAUUAGGAUUUACUCCGAAAGCGAAGAAACUUACAACAAAGAGUCCCUCCCGACUGUUUACCAAAAACACAGCACUCUGCUAACUCGUAAGAGGAUGUAUAGGGUGUGACGCCUGCCCGGUGCUCGAAGGUUAAUUGAUGGGGUUAGCAUUAGCGAAGCUCUUGAUCGAAGCCCGAGUAAACGGCGGCCGUAACUAUAACGGUCCUAAGGUAGCGAAAUUCCUUGUCGGUUAAAUACCGACCUGCAUGAAUGGCGUAACGAGAUGGGAGCUGUCUCAAAGAGGGAUCCAGUGAAAUUGUAGUGGAGGUGAAAAUUCCUCCUACCCGCGGCAAGACGGAGAGACCCCGUGGACCUUUACUACAGCUUGACACUGCUAUUUGGAUAAGAAUGUGCAGGAUAGGUGGGAGGCUUUGAAGCUAGGACGCCAGUUCUAGCAGAGCCAUUGUUGAGAUACCACUCUUUCUUAUUUGGGUAGCUAACCAGCUUGAGUUAUCCUCAAGUGGGACAAUGUCUGGUGGGUAGUUUGACUGGGGCGGUCGCCUCCCAAAUAAUAACGGAGGCUUACAAAGGUUGGCUCAGAACGGUUGGAAAUCGUUCGUAGAGUAUAAAGGUAUAAGCCAGCUUAACUGCAAGACAUACAAGUCAAGCAGAGACGAAAGUCGGUCUUAGUGAUCCGGUGGUUCUGUGUGGAAGGGCCAUCGCUCAAAGGAUAAAAGGUACCCCGGGGAUAACAGGCUGAUCUCCCCCAAGAGCUCACAUCGACGGGGAGGUUUGGCACCUCGAUGUCGGCUCAUCGCAUCCUGGGGCUGGAGCAGGUCCCAAGGGUAUGGCUGUUCGCCAUUUAAAGCGGUACGCGAGCUGGGUUCAGAACGUCGUGAGACAGUUCGGUCCCUAUCUGCCGUGGGCGUAAGAAGAUUGAAGAGAUUUGACCCUAGUACGAGAGGACCGGGUUGAACAAACCACUGGUGUAGCUGUUGUUCUGCCAAGAGCAUCGCAGCGUAGCUAAGUUUGGAAAGGAUAAACGCUGAAAGCAUCUAAGCGUGAAGCCAACUCUAAGAUGAAUCUUCUCUAAGCUCUCUAGAAGACUACUAGUUUGAUAGGCUGGGUGUGUAAUGGAUGAAAGUCCUUUAGCUGACCAGUACUAAUAGAGCGUUUGGCUUAUCUUUAAUAAAGCAU
rnacentral:rRNA from 1 species